UACGUAGGGGGCUAGCGUUGCUCGGAAUCACUGGGCGUAAAGGGCGCGUAGGCGGCCUGAUAAGUCGGGGGUGAAAGCCUGUGGCUCAACCACAGAAUUGCCUUCGAUACUGUUAGGCUUGAGACCGGAAGAGGUAAGUGGAACUGCGAGUGUAGAGGUGAAAUUCGUAGAUAUUCGCAAGAACACCAGUGGCGAAGGCGGCUUACUGGUCCGGAUCUGACGCUGAGGCGCGAAAGCGUGGGGAGCAAACAGG
rnacentral:rRNA from 1 species